GCUUACGGCCAUACCAGCCCAAGAAAACCCAGUCUCGUCUGAUCUCGGAAGCUAAGAAGGCUUGGGCCUGUUUAGUACUUUGAUGGGAGACCUCCUGGGAAUACCAGGUGCUGUAAGCU
ensembl:rRNA 5S_rRNA 5S ribosomal RNA